GACGAACGCUGGCGGCGUGCCUAAUACAUGCAAGUAGAACGAGUUGCGAACGGGUGAGUAACGCGUGGUAACCUGCCUCAUAGCGGGGGAUAACUAUUGGAAACGAUAGCUAAUACCGCAUACUGUGAGAUGGACCUGCGUUGUAUUAGCUAGUAGGUGGGUUAACGGCUCACCUAGGCGACGAUCCCUCGCUGGUCUGAGAGGAUGAGCAGCCACACUGGAACUGAUACACGGUCCAGACUCCUACGGGAUGCAUCGGGGGGGAAUAUUGCACGAUGGGCGCAAGCCGGAUGCAGCCAUGCCGCGUGGAUGAAGAGGGCCUUCGGGUUGUAAAGUACUUUCAGCGAGGAGGCGUUACUCGCAGAAGAAGCACCGGCUAACUCCGUGCCAGCAGCCGCGGUAAUAC
rnacentral:rRNA from 1 species